rnacentral:misc_RNA from 1 species
GAGAAACGUUGCCCUUCGGGGUAUACCUCCCACCCUUUGUUUAUUAUACCUUUGUUGCUUUGGCGGGCCCGUCCUCGGACCACCGGCUUCUGCUGGUCAGUGCCCGCCAGAGGACCUAAAACUCUGUUUGUUAAUAUUGUCUGAGUACUAUAUAAUAGUUA